CACGUGGGUAACCUACCUAUAAGACUGGGAUAACUCCGGGAAACCGGGGCUAAUACCGGAUAAUAUUUUGAACCGCAUGGUUCAAUAGUGAAAGACGGUUUCGGCUGUCACUUAUAGAUGGACCCGCGCCGUAUUAGCUAGUUGGUAAGGUAACGGCUUACCAAGGCGACGAUACGUAGCCGACCUGAGAGGGUGAUCGGCCACACUGGAACUGAGACACGGUCCAGACUCCUACGGGAGGCAGCAGUAGGGAAUCUUCCGCAAUGGGCGAAAGCCUGACGGAGCAACGCCGCGUGAGUGAUGAAGGUCUUCGGAUCGUAAAACUCUGUUGUUAGGGAAGAACAAAUUUGUUAGUAACUGAACAAGUCUUGACGGUACCUAACCAGAAAGCCACGGCUAACUACGUGCCAGCAGCCGCGGUAAUACGUAGGUGGCAAGCGUUAUCCGGAAUUAUUGGGCGUAAAGCGCGCGUAGGCGGUUUCUUAAGUCUGAUGUGAAAGCCCACGGCUC
rnacentral:rRNA from 1 species